CGCGGGGUGGAGCAGUUGGUAGCUCGCCAGGCUCAUAACCUGGAGGUCGUAGGUUCGAGUCCUGCCUCCGCAAC
rnacentral:tRNA from 1 species